UAGCAGCACGUACAUACUGGAG
rnacentral:miRNA from 1 species